UGUUGUGAUGAUACUGGUAAUAGGAAGUGCCGUCAGAAGCGAUAACUGACGAUGUUUUAUGCCCGUCUGACC
rnacentral:snoRNA from 1 species